rnacentral:misc_RNA from 1 species
UGUGGGAGCGGGCUUGCCCGCGAUAGCGAUAUGUCUGUUACAUCAUUGUCGAAUCUGCCGACGUCAUCGCGGGCAAGCCCGCUCCCACA